CCGUUUCAACAAAAAUUUACCAAAAUUACAAAUCAAAAACAAUGGCAUACUACGACUUGUAGUGCCGUUUGGAAGCGUUGGAAAUGUUAUUUGAGCCAAUCAGUAUCCUACUUGAAUUUCUUCUUGCCGUGGACACGUGUAUACCGAAACAGGAAACCUGAUUUUAGUCGGUGCUGCUCAACCGUGCGACGAGACAGCGGGAGCAACUGUGAACAUUAGGGAUAGUUGGUGAGGGUUGGGAAACCUAACCUUAACCAAUCACGCUAAUCGUUAACCAGAUCGGCCAAUCAAAGGCGAUUCUAUGGAAAGCCAUUAACGUACCUUACCC